UCUGUGGGGAUGGCCUUUGUGAGGAGAGUGAGAUCUGCUCCAUGUGUCUAGCUGACUAUAGGAAAUGUCUACUUCCUGUAGAUGCCUGGAUGAUGAUUACCCUUCUAAUCUGCUUGGUCUCUACUGCCUCUGCCUUGACCAUUCUGGUAUGCCAUAAUUUUGAUUGCCUCAUGAAGUGACCCAAGCUUGGAAGGAAGAGGCUUCUUCUGUUAGGCAUUCCAGUGUCUCUUGAGGAGCUAAUUACAGGGAAGCCUGAGAAUUGCUGUCUUUGCCCUUCAGAGUAUGCAGAGGAUGUUCAGCUUUGGAAACCAGCCACCUUUCUGUGAGAAAACCUGAACCAUCUGACACAGAGAGACCACAUGGAGAGGCCAUGUGGAAAGGAACUGAACCUCAAGCUGAGUGCCAGCAUCAACUGCCAGACACAAUAGAUCCAGUUUCCCACCUUUAACUCUGCUGUGAUGUUUUCCCUGAGUUCAACUGAUACAAAGGUAAGAGUCAAUAUUAUUAAUUGUAGGGAGGAACUGGGUUUCAAGGUAAUUUUAUUUGGGGGUGAUACUCAGGAACCCUGGUAGCCCUAGUCGCUCCAAGUUCAGAAGUCUCUCUCUUUUAAUAGCCAAAUAUCCAUCAUCUGAGUCCCUAAUAUUCUACCAGGUAAGCAUCUCCAGGGUGCCAUAGGAAUUUCUCAGGAACCCUGAAACAUUUCGUAAUUUACCCUGGUUGUUGCUUGUCACCUUGGACUG